GGCAGGGAUGCGAUGGCGGAGUCGCUGCCCCUGGAGAUGCUCACAUAUAUUCUGAGCUUCCUGCCUCUGUCAGAUCAGAAAGAGGCCUCCCUCGUGAGCUGGGCUUGGUACCGUGCCGCCCAGAAUGCCCUUCGGGAGCAACCAGGCCUUACCUCCCUGGACCUCAGUGGCUGCUCAGAACUGACUGAUGGGGCGCUCUUGGCCGUGAGCCGUGGCCUGCGGCACCUGCGGCGCCUGAGCCUGGGGAAGCUGCAGCGGCUGACAGACGCAGGAUGUACAGCUCUGGGUGGCCUGCAGGAGCUGCAGAGCCUCGACAUGGCCGAGUGCUGUCUGGUGAGAGGGCGGGAACUGGCCCAGGCCCUGAGCUCUGUGCACGGGGCUCCAUCCCAGCUGGCCUCCCUCAGCCUGGCCCACUGUUCUUCAUUGAAGUCACGCCCAGAGCUGGAGCAUCAGGCCUCAGGUACCAAGGACCCCUGUCCCGAGCCACAGGGCCCCUCCCUGCUCAUGCUGCGGGCCCUGCAGGAGUUGGACCUCACAGCCUGCAGCAAGCUGACCGAUGCCAGUUUAGCCAAGGUGCUCCAGUUUCCCCAGCUGAGGCAGCUGUCCCUUAGCCUGUUGCCAGAACUCACAGACAACGGCUUGGUGGUUGUGGCCAGGGGCUGUCCUAGCCUGGAGCACUUGGCGCUGAGUCACUGCAGCCGCCUCAGUGACAAGGGCUGGGCCCAGGCAGCCAGCUCCUGGCCGAGGCUGCAGUAUCUCAAUCUGUCCAGCUGCAGUCAGCUCACAGAGCAGACACUGGAUGCCAUUGGGCAGGCGUGCAGGCAGCUCCGGGUGUUGGAUGUGGCCAUGUGCCCUGGCAUCAACAUGGCCGCCGUCAGACGCUUCCAAGCCCAGCUGCCCCAGGUGUCCUGCGUCCAGUCCCGCUUCGUGGGAGGGGCUGACCUGACCCUAACACUCUGAGGCCGGGUCAGUAACCAGCCCUGCAGCACAGCCUCCUUGACUCCCCCAGUCUCCAACCCUGGCCUUGACCUGGGUUGCUUCUUGCCUCCCUCUACUGCAGACCCUCUAGGACUGGGGGUGGGGCCCAUCCAGGGCAGCCCAGAGGGAACAUCCUGCCACACCACCUGGCAGUAGCCUCUUCCAGCUACACGUCGUUGCCACAGGCCCCUGGAAAUGCUACCUACAUGUUGCUGCCACAGGCUCCUGCUCUCUGGCCAAGCCCUAGGUGGGAGGCCAGGCCCCCAGCUGGCAGGGUCUGGUGCUGGGAGGAGCAGAGCCUCUGCCUCUUGCCUGCCCUCCUCUCAGACCUAAGGCUGGGCUCCACCUACUCCUGUGGGACUCUCCCAGCACCCUGUGUGCACUGAGCUUCAGCAGCUGAGCCCAGGUCUGUGCUGUAAAUCCUAAGAUUAAACAUUCCAGAUAGUA
rnacentral:sRNA from 1 species